rnacentral:rRNA from 1 species
UACUCCUACGGGAGGCAGCAGUGGGGAAUAUUGCACAAUGGGGGAAACCCUGAUGCAGCCAUGCCGCGUGUGUGAAGAAGGCCUUCGGGUUGUAAAGCAUUUCAGUAGGGAGGAAGGUAGUGUAGUUAACACCUCCCUAUUGACGUACAUCAAGACAAUGCC